CUAACCAGAAAGAAACAGCCAAAUGCAGUGCAGUGGACUGAUGAGUGUCAAAAGGCCUUUAACCAGCUUAAGGCAACACUCAUGUCUGACCCUGUGCUAAGGGCCCCAGACUUUGACAAACCGUUCCUAGUAACCACAGAUGCGUCCGAGCGAGGCAUGGGAGCAGUUUUAAUGCAGGAAGGACUGGAUCAAGAAUUCCAUCCUGUCGUGUUUCUCAGUAAGAAACUGUCUGAGAGGGAAAGCCAGUGGUCAAUCAGCGAAAAGGAAUGCUACCCCAUUGUGUACGCGCUGGAAAAGCUACGCCCAUAUGUUUGGGGACGGCGUUUCCAACUACAAACAGACCAUGCUGCGCUACAGUGGCUUCAUACCGCCAAGGGAAAUAACAAAAAACUUCUUCGGUGGAGUUUAGCUCUCCAAGAUUUUGAUUUUGAAAUACAACACAUUUUGGGAGCUUCUAACAAAGUGGCUGAUACACUGUCCCGGGAAAGUUUCCCAGAGUUAAGAUUAACAAUUGUUCUUGGAAUAAAACAUAUUGUUAGUUUUUAUAUAAUCAGUAGUAUGUCUAAAGGUACAUGUGUCUUAUUAACUCUGUUUUCUCCUAGAACUCCAGGAAGAAAUCACAGCCAGUGUGGAACCGAACGUCCAACACUAUCUGUGAUUUGGGGGGCGUGUCAUAACUAUAACGGGAAGGGUAACAGCUGUCCUGUGUACAGUACUAUAAAAUCCCUCCUGGCCAGAGACUCCAAAAUCCUUUUCCCUGUAAAGGGUUAAGAAGCUCAGGUAACCUGGCUGGCAUCUGACCAAGGACCAAUAAGGGGACAAGAUACUUUCAAAUCUUUGGGGGGGGGGGGGGAAGGCUUUUGUUUGUGUUCUUUGUUUUGGGAAGUGUUAGCUCUCGGGACUGAGAAAGAUGGUCUCCCCAUCUUUCUAAACAAGUCUCUCCUAUUUCAAACUUGUAAGUAAAUAGCCAGGCAAGGCGUGUUAGUUUUCCUUUGUUUUCUCAACUUGUAAAUGUACCUUUUUACAGAGUUGUUUA
rnacentral:lncRNA from 1 species